AGUACAUACAACAGUAUUUAUAGGCAUUAUUAAAUGUGUUAGUAUUUUUCUCUUUCAGCUAUAUUAACUGUCAAAUGUUUUUAACUUGUUUUUCUUCAGGAAUAGAAAAGACUAACAGAACUUUGAAAAUUCAUAAUAUUUUGUUUCAGAUACGUUGUGAAAAACUAAUUUUUCCUUUAUUGUGUCUAUGAACUGAAGUACUGUUAUGCCUAAAUCUUGUGGGUUUUUUUUGUUUUUUUUUUUUUUAUUUUUUUUUUUUUUUUUUUUUCACCUGAAUGUUUUUGACUUUCAUUACCCUGCAGUUGGAUAUCUGGAUGCAAUUGCAAUAGAACAGACUUUUAGUGGCUGAAGUUUAUCGUUGUCUUUUCCCUAAAGAACUAAAGUGUCAAGGAUUCAUCAAAUAAUAGUUAUGCUUGUGUUCUCCAAACUCAGAUCACAGACAACAUAUUUCUAAGCGCUAGUGUCGGAUUACCAACAUCAAACACUUGGCAUGCUUGCUGUAACUAGCUUUUGAAAACACUACACCAAAAAAAAAAAUGAAUAUUUCCAAUGUCUCUAUUGGAAGCAAGUCUUCUCUUGAAACAUAUUUGCUUAAGGACUGUUCCCCAAAUGUAGGGGAAUGAAAAAUGAUUUAUAAUUAGCUCACAAAAAUGCUCUCUAAACAUUAAGGUGGGUGUCAUUUUGGUGUAUUCUGAAGAGAUGAAGGACUUAUGCUUGCCUAGAUGAAACACUAUCCAGCUUCAACUGUGCCUGGUAAUUGUAUAAACAUAGCUAUGCUUAUAUGCAUAUGCUUACACUUGUAUAGCUGAUUUUGGCCAGGGAAAGAAUUAUACCAGUAAAAACUUUUUAUUAAUAUACAUUUUUAUCUCUCUCCAAACCAACUUUAUGCCAGGAUAUAUACAUUGGAAAAAAUAACGUUCUUAAGCAAUUCCAGCUUCAUUAUUAUAAGCACUGCCUAUCUCCCUUGAUGGAUACUUAAGCAGCUUUUGAUCCCUCUUCUGAAUGUUUACUUCAAGGAUGAAACGUAUAAAAGAGGAUUGCUCUUUAUCUUUCC
rnacentral:lncRNA from 1 species